rnacentral:rRNA from 1 species
UACGGAGGGUGCAAGCGUUAAUCGGAAUUACUGGGCGUAAAGCGCGCGUAGGCGGCUCGGUCAGUCGGGUGUGAAAUCCCUGGGCUCAACCUGGGAACUGCGUCUGAUACUGGAUGGCUUGAGUUCGGGAGAGGGAUGCGGAAUUCCAGGUGUAGCGGUGAAAUGCGUAGAUAUCUGGAGGAACACCGGUGGCGAAGGCGGCAUCCUGGACCGACACUGACACUGAGGAGCGAAAGCCAGGGGAGCAAACGGG